GCCGAAGUGGUGAAAUUGGCAGACGCGCUGGACUCAAAAUCCAGUGGUAGCGAUACCGUGCGGGUUCAAGUCCCGCCUUCGGCACCA
rnacentral:tRNA from 2 species